GCUUAACCAUGCAAGUCGAGCGGAGUGAUGGUGCUUGCACUAUCACUUAGCGGCGGACGGGUGAGUAAUGCUUAGGAAUCUGCCUAUUAGUGGGGGACAACAUUUCGAAAGGAAUGCUAAUACCGCAUACGUCCUACGGGAGAAAGCAGGGGAUCUUCGGACCUUGCGCUAAUAGAUGAGCCUAAGUCGGAUUAGCUAGUUGGUGGGGUAAAGGCCUACCAAGGCGACGAUCUGUAGCGGGUCUGAGAGGAUGAUCCGCCACACUGGGACUGAGACACGGCCCAGACUCCUACGGGAGGCAGCAGUGGGGAAUAUUGGACAAUGGGCGCAAGCCUGAUCCAGCCAUGCCGCGUGUGUGAAGAAGGCCUUAUGGUUGUAAAGCACUUUAAGCGAGGAGGAGGCUACUUUAGUUAAUACCUAGAGAUAGUGGACGUUACUCGCAGAAUAAGCACCGGCUAACUCUGUGCCAGCAGCCGCGGUAAUACAGAGGGUGCAAGCGUUAAUCGGAUUUACUGGGCGUAAAGCGCGCGUAGGCGGCUAAUUAAGUCAAAUGUGAAAUCCCCGAGCUUAACUUGGGAAUUGCAUUCGAUACUGGUUAGCUAGAGUGUGGGAGAGGAUGGUAGAAUUCCAGGUGUAGCGGUGAAAUGCGUAGAGAUCUGGAGGAAUACCGAUGGCGAAGGCAGCCAUCUGGCCUAACACUGACGCUGAGGUGCGAAAGCAUGGGGAGCAAACAGGAUUAGAUACCCUGGUAGUCCAUGCCGUAAACGAUGUCUACUAGCCGUUGGGGCCUUUGAGGCUUU
rnacentral:rRNA from 1 species